UUAUUUGAGAAUAUGGCCAAUACGUCAAAAAAUGCGUACUUUCAAAUCAUUGCUGGAGAGUAUUUUUCACUCCUUUUAGAGUAUGUAAAAGGAAUUGAAAAUGAGUGAAAAGUAGUAUUUUAAAGAAAAGAAAAUUUCAUAACCAAACAUUAAGCAAGUAAGUUUACUGCUUGUGACGGUGGUUGUUAAAAAAUGAAAAGCUAAUUAGAAAUCCACUAGUAAUCCACAACGCAGGAAAAACUAUUUUGUUCAUGGGAACUAUGAUGAUUCUAUAGCCUGUUCUAGAGUGUUUUGCGUGACGAUCAUAAGCCUGUCAGGAUAUGGCCAACUAGUCGAUUUGGUGAUCUGAUGGAAAUGCAGGUCAAAAUCGGUCUGGGCCAUUGCUCUCGACAUUGCCAAAAAGCUUGAUGUCGGCCCUCGCGCCUGGAUCGAAUCCUUCUACCAGAUCAUCCAACUAUCUCAAACCGAAUACAAAAAGCAGUUCCGGUCGGAGAUCGAGGCAUCCAAGGAACGCAUCCGGAAGCGAGCAUAAGGAAAGAAGCACAAAAAACUAGGAGGAACAUAAAGCCCGUUUGGAUCCAGUGGAGGACAUCGAAUAUCUUCCCGAUGUAUUGUAAGUGUUUCGAAACUCUCGAUAUUGGAAUGCUGCAGGAAGUGAUGAGUAUUCUGCUCGAGGAGGAAGCUCGCUAUCACUUGACACGUUGUGUAGAUUCCGGUAUGUGCGUUCCGGUUGACGAUAGGAGUAUGUUAGA